GGACGCCGGCGGGGCGGCCGAGGCUGCUGUGAGAGGGCGCUCGAGGCUGCUGGAGAGCGAACAGGCGAAGGAGGCGGGGAGGCGGCGGCCGCUCUCGCUCGCCUGCUCGCUCUCUUCCCGGCACCGCUGCGGGUCCGUCGCUACGCUUCCUGCCCGUCAGCCGCUCCGUGGCGCGCCGCCGGAGCAGCCGCCCCUCGGCCGGGUAACCCCUCGGGUCAGGAGUCCUGCGCGCCGGGGGACACCGCGCGGAGGGCGAGCCGGCGCCACACCUGUGGAGCCGGCGGGCGUCGGGGGUCCCGGCCGGGGUCCCGCCGCGUGCGUGAUUGGGGCUGCGGGCCUCCCAGGCGCUGGGGGAGGCGCUCCCCCCGGCUGGGCGACGCGGGCACUAUGGGGCUCCCCGCGCUCGAAUUCAGCGACUGCUGCCUCGACAGCCCGCACUUCCGAGAGACGCUCAAGUCGCACGAAGCGGAGCUGGACAAGACCAACAAAUUCAUCAAGGAGCUCAUCAAGGACGGGAAGUCACUCAUCAGCGCGCUCAAGAAUUUGUCUCUGGCGAAGAGGAAAUUUGCUGAUUCCUUAAAUGAAUUUAAAUUUCAGUGCAUAGGAGAUGCAGAAACAGAUGAUGAAAUGUGUAUAGCAAGGUCUUUGCAGGAGUUUGCCACUGUCCUCAGGAAUCUUGAAGAUGAACGGAUACGGAUGAUUGAGAAUGCCAGCGAGGUGCUCAUCACUCCCUUGGAGAAGUUUCGGAAGGAGCAGAUUGGGGCUGCCAAGGAAGCCAAAAAGAAGUAUGACAAAGAGACAGAAAAGUAUUGUGGCAUCUUAGAAAAACACUUAAAUUUGUCUUCCAAGAAGAAAGAAUCUCAGCUUCAGGAGGCAGACAGCCAAGUGGACUUGGUCCGGCAACAUUUCUAUGAAGUAUCGCUGGAGUAUGUCUUCAAGGUGCAGGAAGUCCAAGAGAGAAAGAUGUUUGAGUUCGUGGAGCCUCUCCUGGCAUUCUUGCAAGGACUCUUCACUUUCUAUCACCAUGGUUAUGAACUGGCCAAGGAUUUCAGCGACUUCAAGACUGAGUUGACCAUUAGCAUACAGAAUACAAGGAAUCGCUUCGAAGGCACCAGGUCAGAAGUGGAAUCACUGAUGAAAAAGAUGAAGGAGAAUCCCCUUGAGCACAAGACCAUCAGUCCCUACACCAUGGAAGGGUACCUGUACGUUCAGGAGAAACGUCACUUUGGAACUUCUUGGGUGAAGCACUACUGUACAUAUCAGCGGGAUUCCAAACAAAUCACCAUGGUACCAUUUGACCAAAAGUCAGGAGGAAAGGGGGGAGAAGAUGAAUCCGUCACCCUGAAAUCCUGCACCCGCCGGAAAACAGACUCUAUCGAGAAGAGGUUUUGCUUUGACGUAGAAGCAGUAGACAGGCCAGGGGUUAUCACCAUGCAGGCAUUGUCGGAAGAGGACCGGAGGCUCUGGAUGGAAGCCAUGGAUGGCCGGGAACCUGUCUACAAUUCGAACAAAGACAGUCAGAGCGAAGGGACUGCACAGUUGGACAGCAUUGGCUUCAGCAUAAUCAGGAAAUGCAUCCACGCUGUGGAAACCAGAGGGAUCAAUGAGCAAGGGCUCUACCGAAUCGUGGGGGUCAAUUCCAGAGUGCAGAAGCUCCUCAGUGUCCUGAUGGAUCCCAAAACAGCUUCUGAAACAGAGACCGAUAUCUGUGCUGAAUGGGAGAUAAAGACAAUCACUAGUGCUUUGAAGACCUAUCUAAGAAUGCUUCCGGGACCACUCAUGAUGUACCAGUUUCAAAGAAGUUUCAUCAAAGCAGCAAAGCUGGAAAACCAGGAGUCUCGAGUCUCUGAAAUCCACAGCCUUGUUCAUCGGCUUCCAGAGAAAAAUAGGCAGAUGUUACAGCUGCUCAUGAACCACUUGGCAAAUGUUGCUAACAACCACAAGCAGAAUUUGAUGACAGUGGCAAACCUCGGCGUGGUGUUUGGACCCACCCUGCUGCGUCCUCAAGAAGAAACAGUAGCAGCCAUCAUGGAUAUCAAGUUUCAGAACAUUGUUAUUGAGAUCCUAAUAGAAAAUCACGAAAAGAUAUUUAACACCGUGCCUGAUACGCCUCUCACCAAUGCCCAGCUGCACCUGUCCCGGAAGAAGAGCAGUGACUCCAAGCCCCCUUCCUGCAGCGAGAGGCCCCUGACGCUCUUCCACGCCAUGCAAUCAGCAGAGAAACAGGAACAAAGAAACAGCAUCAUCAACUCCAGUUUGGAAUCUGUCGUCUCAUCAAAUGCAAAUAGCAUCCUUAAUUCCAGCAGCAGCUUACAGCCCAACAUGAACUCCAGUGACCCGGACCUGGAUGUGCUCAAACCCACCCGUCCCAACUCACUCCCCCCGAAUCCAAGCCCAACUUCACCCCUCUCGCCAUCUUGGCCCAUGUUCUCGGCGCCAUCCAGCCCUAUGCCCACUUCAUCCACGUCCAGCGACUCAUCCCCCAUCAGGUCUGUUGCAGGGUUUGUUUGGUUUUCUGUUGCUGCCGUUGCUCUCUCAUUGGCUUGGUCCUCUCUUCAUGCAGUGUUCAGCCUCCUCGUCAACUUUGUUCCCCGCCAUCCAAACCUGCACUUGCUUUUUGACAGGCCAGAAGAAGCGAUUCGCGAAGACUCCAGCACACCGUUCCGGAAGGCGAAAGCCUUAUAUGCCUGCAAAGCUGAACAUGACUCAGAACUCUCGUUCACAGCGGGCACGGUCUUCGACAAUGGAGAAACCCAAAGCAGCUGUCUGACUUCAGGAAGCGGACGUUUUCUGGGACUGCCUUCUUGACAUCUGGUGAAUCCAGCAUUUAAAGUCUGUCCUCUGAACUGCAAUUCACUGCUCCUGGGGGCAAGGGACUGUCAUGUUCCUAUCAGCUAUUCACUGUGACCGCACAGAGGACCCCUGAUCUUAGGGGCAAACUUGGUCUAAACUCGCAAAAGUUCAUCCAUCUCAAGAGCCUGGCUGGUUGGAGGGGACUCUGAACGGAAAGACUGGCCUCAUACCCGAGAACUACGUGGAGUUCCUCUAACCGUGGGCCCCAGCAGACCUGCUGAGCUUUCCAUGGUAUCCAUGACGACUGCUGAUUCCAGUGUUGUAGGCCGUUUCUCUCUGCCACUGAGAAAUGCAGGGUGACUGACUCUGUUACCACCUGUCAACACAAAUGCUUCUGUGAACUCUGGUGUCACCCAUCCCCAUGAUCAUGUCAGCUGGCAUGUGGUGAUACUGCAAGGAACAGAAGUAAAUCAGCAGUGGAGGCCAUUUUUUGAUAACUGAGAGAAAGGCUUGCAAAGCCAUUCCUCUCAUUUAGCGCCCUAAGUAGGGAGCAUUCAUUUUGUUUCAACAGUCAUCCAAACCCCCAACCUUCCAAAAAAGGAAGUAAGAAAGAUAUAAGUAGUCCUCAAGAGUGUGCAGUGUAGCUAAAUCUAACAGUGCUGGGCAUUGGCUCUGAGGCCCAGGCUGGGCCCAUUGCUUCUGUUUACAGUAGACACUCUCCCCCACCUCUAAAUGCUUGAGACCCACAGUGCUACAGGCAGCUGGGUCUGUCUGUUUGCGUGCAGGAGAGAGAGGGGUUACUGUACUGUUUACAUAAGAUGCAAUCUCUCACCAUCUCCAAGCAGCCUUGGCCAACCAUCAGCAGAAUUCAGCUCAGUCCUCUCGAGCAAGGGAACACACACACACACCCCAUGUUCCCCCUCCCAAGCUAGGAACUUCUCUGCCACCCAGCGCUGCCAUCACCUCGUAACCACGGCAACCCAACCUACUCUGAAACCAAACCAAAAAAAAAAAACCCACUGUUUUUGCAUGACAUAUUUUUUCUCCCCCCUCUUUUUGGGUCAUCUUUUGAAUGAUUUUCCGACAACCUGUAGCAGAAGGUCAAGGAAUUAGAGUGGUCUGCUUCGGGCAGACAGAAGAGCAGCUGGGAACUUUUCCCUUUCUGGUGAAUUUCAGCAGCAUCAGGAUAUAUUUGGAGCAAACUUUAGUAACCUCUUAGGAUUAAAUUACAUACUGGCUUAAUACUUCUGUUCUUCCAUGCAACUAGUGUUUGCUUUCUAGGGGGCAGUAUGCUGCCUCCCCAUGGGCGACAUCCUCCCUUUGAUUGUUCCUUCAUUGUCUCCCAUUCUGUGUCCCUUCCCCUGCCCUUGACUGCCACUAGCCCCUCACUGACCAGCCCCAUUGGCAGUGCCCUGGGCUGCUGAGCACUGGCGCCCUGGCGGCUUUCAAGGAUGAUUUCCAGGCUAACCCUGUAGCCUGUAGUUUUAAAGGACGUAUAUGUUCACUGCCACUCAGAAAAAGGGAAUUGUUCUCAGGCUUUUGAGACACAAGACUAAUAUUGUAAGCCAUUUGAUUCAGGAGAACACCAAAAGGUUGGGGCAUGGAAGGUGGAAUGGGUACCUUCUGAGAAAGAAAAUUUCCUGGUCCUGAAGGAGCCGGGUCUUGUGGAAGAUAGCCAGAGGUGGGGAAGUUGGACCUGGAUGUUUCACAUUCACUUGGCCUUCAAAGAAACAGAGUUCCCAGUAUCUUCCACAUUCAAAUGUCUUUGCAAGAGUGACUCUGGGCAGACAGACCCCAAACUGAUGAUGGACUCUUAAGCUCCUCAGGAGACCCUCAGGUUGGCAGUGUCUCUCCAGAGUGUUUCCUGCUUCUGGAAUUCCUCUUUAGGGAAGUUGAAAGAAGAAAAGAAAAACUUGAAUUGUGUUGAAUUACUGUAUCUUUUACUUUUUUUUUUUUGAAGAGAUGAACUUGUAAAUAGAGUGAUUUGAAAUAUUAUAUGGCAAAGUUUUAUAUUUGAUAAUCUUUAAGCUAGUUGCUCCACACAUUUAAGCUUUGAUUGUUGAGUAGGUGUGUGUAAGAGGGAGAGAGAGGAGGCAAGGUUGAAGAGAGUCAAGGUCGUCCCCUCUCUGGCCUUGAGGAAGGAGGACACGUUUCUACGCACUCUCUGCUGGCUCUCGUUGGUGGGUGUGACACACUGGUGGUAUUCUGUCUUCUUUAUCCACAUGUGUUUUUGAACUUUUCUUGGGCUUUGAAUUUGGACAGAGAAAGAGCAUUUUCAGGCAAUGAAUUUUUCAAAGAACUCUUGCUCAGUAGUAAGAUGAAGCUCAGGAUUCACAUAGGUGGGGCCAGGAGUUCGAUUUUUUUUUUUUUUCAUUUUUCUUCUCAGGUGUAUUUCUUGGCACCCCAAGAUGUCAGGAUAGAAGGCGACGGGGUAGUCGCAUGUUCCUUAUAUCUCACUCCUCUGCACAUCUUCCAAGGCUAUACACAUGAGGCCGAGCUAUUUUGUAAAUGUUGUGUGUGUGUAUCUAAGUUCUAGGAGAAACUGGCUGCUUAGGAUCUUGGGUCCUCAAGUAUGCUGCUGCUUUCCCUUUCCCUCAAUAUUUCCCUUCUUGUUCAUCUCAAAUUUCCUGUAACCCCAGAAUAAAAGAAAAACUCCAAAGAGGGAUGCAGGCUGUGCUGUUGUUACAGCUUUACAGAUGAUUUUAAAUUUAAAGGAGUUUGUCGUUAUGAUUCAGUUCAUCAGCUCAAGGAUUACACAGCUGUUAUGCAAGAGCUCAACCAGCAGCAAGUGAGACACUACCACUACCAAUUCCGGGAACGAGAAUUAAGACUGGGUAAGACCAAGAUAGGACUCAGGAAAGCUAUCACUGAAAACCCAGGACAAAGGAGAACAAACCAACUGGCGAGACUUACUCCCUGUAGACUUGGAACAGCUUGGGAACCUGUUCAGUGGAGCUUGAGAGGACAGGCAUACUCUGUGCCACUGUGCUUUCUAAAUGGCAGUAAUGCCACAUAGUGGGUUUUUUUUUUAAACACAUUUGCUGUUUUAAAUUGUCACCUGCCUCAAUGGAACCUUAACUAGAGCUAACGCGGAGGAGCAGAAGUCCCAGGCCCUGAUUUUGGGAGCUCCUCACUGAAGCAUAGCUAUUGAUACUUGGCCCCAGCUUGACCACUUGGAAGCCUGUCCCUCCUUCUUCACUUGGCCCUGAUUUGAAGCCAGAGGGGAAUGGAACUGCUGCCAACGUGAAUGUUUAGGUAGACCCCUUCCCAGCUUCCCUGUGGCCAUGCUGGGCCUGUGACAGAUGGCUGCUCUGCUUCCUUUCCCCUGCCAGGCUCACCUCCUCCUCGUUUGCUCCAGAACUGGAGAUACCAGUAAGAAUAUGAGCCAACAAACGGGGAAGGAAUUUGACCACUAGAAGUAGGUUUUACCCUCUACCGUCUCUGCCCCCCACCCCCUAAUUCUGCUUGAAUAGGGAACUUUAGGGCAGAUUAGGAGAGUGAACAAGGUAUCAGAAUGGAGGACUAUGGACCAAGAUCCCUGAGAUUUUCCCAGGAACCUCCGUUUCUUUAGUAAGGCCCUGCGAUCAUGCACACAGAGCCUGAAUCUUUACGUGGGCAUUAUGAUCCGUCUCACUCCUCCUUCGGGUACUCCAAGAAUUCCAUAGCUACAGAAUUCCAUGCUGUGAAAGAUAACUAGUUUCAAAUCCCUGCCCCCAAAUCCCCUGCUCAAGACUGAUGAUAUUCUCUUCUGUUUUCAAAAAUCGACGUAUAGAGAUGGACCCUGUAUAGCACAGCCUUCCUUAGUAUCCUCUAAUUGGAGCCAGUUUCUCGCUUAGUGUUUUAAUAUUUCUACAGCCAAUAUGUGUUUACCUCUGUCAGACCAAACUGUCUUUUUCAACGUAAUUCUAGUUCAUCCCCUUUUGCUGAGUGCUUUUUGGACAGAGGGGCAAAGAGAAAGAAGGUAAGCAUUCAAGCAUUGGCCAAUUUGCGUUAGCGGGACAGAGCCAUGCUAGUGACAAGACCAUUUCAGGCAUUUCCAGGACUCUAUGGUUGCGUCUGCCGUGCCUGUAGCUCAGAGGGAAGUCCUUAUACAAACUAUGUCUUCUGACAACAGCAAGCCCAGUCACCCCAGAAGUUUUGUCUUGACUGCAGAGACUGCAAAAGCAUCCAUGGUUAAAGGGUAGGGAGACAGAAAUAAUCAGCUAAAGGUAACUUGAUCCUCUAUUCAUGACUCUUUAUUGGCACCUUUCAUCCUCUGGCUUCUGUUCCCAAAAGCAAGUCUGAACCGACAGUUGUAUAGACACAGGAGUCCCAAGUACAACAGUGCCCACCAUGGCGGUCACAGUUCGCCCUAGUACAGAAUGUUUUAUGAGCCACCAUAUUACUGCAGUAGGUAGCCAGCCUUGAAGAAACCAGAUAGCUACCUGACUUUAAAAGGAAUGUCCUAGGUAUUCUAUUUCCAGAGUUAUCUGUCAUCUCUGGCAAACUUGACAGUAAUCCAUUACCUAGACAACCCUGCCCCACAUGUCUUUUAAGUCAACUGGGUGUCCUGGUGUCCUCUCACACACCCUUAGCUGGUGUUUAAAAAAUUUAUCUCAUGUUCAGAUGUGUUUGGCAGCCAUGCUGAUCGGCUGGGUGCUGAACCACUUCUCUGUAAUUGUAGCAUCAAAGUGACAACAGCAGAGCAAUGAACCUUGCACAAUCCUACAGCAUGCCUGAGACAAGACUCCAACAAGUAAUAAUUAGCUUUCUUCCUUUUGCUGCCUACAGUACUUGUCUAACUAAAGAACUUCCCAAAGCAGAGGGAGAGACCAUAUAGAGAAUCCAGAUGUCAUUCAGAGCCCCCAGCCCUUGCUGAAAUGUGGUCUUCUGAUGGAAGCAUUGUAUUCUGGGGUGAAAAGGUAUUGGAUGUCAGGUAGCGUGAGGAGUGGAGAGAAAGAGAAAGGUGAACCACACCGAAGAACUUGGGAUUUUUUUUAAGAAGGAUAAAUAUAGUUCUUAAGAGGGAAAAAUUGACCACAGAAAAAGAUCACAACUGAUAUUUCUACAGAAGUUUUUACGGGACUCUACAAGAUGGAAAUGUCUUUCAAGGUGGAAUGCUGUAGCAAGUGAAGGCUUGGUACAGUCCUAGACCCCUAUAAAAAUAGCAGUUACUAUUAUAUGAAAAUUCUUUUGAGUAUAAUCAGAACCAGAGUAUCGAUAAUCAAAAUGUCAGAUUUCUUGGAGCGGUCCUAGGGGGCUAAGACAUUCUACACGCACCAUUUCUACAAAGAUGUCCCAACAGACACCUACUAGCAACUACCUUGGGUACUCAGGUGCCAGGACCAUGCUGGUACCUGUGGAAAGAGGUUCAUCUGAUGACUCUAAAGUGUCUGUGUGUUAGCGUGUGUUUGUGUGUGUGUGUGUGUGUGUAAAGCACACGUCUACAUCUGUAAAGAUACAGAUGCUUAUAUGGAGACCCACAGAAGCUGGCAUUGCUGAGACUUUGCAGGCUCUAAGAUUAAGAAUUUGAGAAUAAGAGAAACGAGAGGCUGUUGAUUGACUGUCAAAAUGAUCAAAGAUGUUAAUUAAGUGCCAUUUUAAAACUUCGUAUUUAUCAAAUGAUUACUAUCUACCGCUGUAUUCCUUAUUAACUUCUUAAAAGUUGUGUUGGAAAACAGAUCAAACUCAUAAACCUUUAGUAGGUAAUACUAGGCUAGUGGUCACAAGCACUCUAAAAGACAUUUUGUCCAUAUUUUGGAGAAGAAAAUAUUUGCAUGUUUAUCUCCUAAUUUAGGCUACCUUUGAGUAUACUGUAAAGUGCUGUGUGAUAUAUUAUCAAUAAAGUACUUAAAAAUGGCACUUUAAUUUUUUAAACCAUAAAUUAUGCACUGUUUUAAACUUCAGUAUUGAAUAUUGACUGGUGUGUAGAAUCCAAUUCUGUAAUUAAAAAGUAAUUUGUGACUAGAAUAGAACCUUUCCCCUGUUCUUAGUAAAAUAGUCUUGCCAUGUUGAGGCUGUUUUUUUAAAAUAUGCUUCUGCGUCACUAAGCGAUUCUAUAAGAAAAAUCCAGUUUCUGUUGAGUGGCCUCUGAAACUUGGCUUUCUUUCAUUUGCUUGGUUUAUGUGACAAUCCUUAUGAAACGAGUGUAAGUAUGAUUUUGGAAUUAAAUGACUUUUCCAUUUGG